GGUAAAAUGUAUCAUUUCUUACCAAAUGUGACUUGGAGAGAAUACAGUGAAGUGAGUCCUCAGUUCUGUGUUUGAGAAGGGGAGUUUUUUUGGGUUGGCUUGGUUACAGUCUGAUGGUAAAACAUUAGCAUAGGAAAACUCAUGAACGAUUCAAAGGCAAAGUUUUCCAACUUUUUAGUUUAUUUCAUACAGUAGGCAAUAUGAUGGAAAAAUACUCUGACAAUUCACUUGUAAUGUCAAUUACAUUUUGAUUCUAUGUAGCCUAAUGAACGGAGUGAGUAUGGUUAACACUUUACUUUUAGAAAUGUAAUUAAUAACGACAGUGUAAAGUGUUACUUGCAAUAUUUAGCUGUCAAGAUUAAUAUAUUCUGCGGAAUUUGCUGCUUCUAUUGGAGGCAAUAAAGUAGAGCUGGAGUAUCCGGAAACCGCGCUUCUUCAUUGAUGAAUGAAGCGCGAGGGCAGGGCUCUCUGUUUGAGGAAAGUCGAGCGCCACGAUUUGUUUACGAACGUGCGCGGACACUCUUCAAGUGUACCUUUUGCUUUAUUGGUCUCAGUUCUCAUCCCACCGUCCUGGAACAAGACUGGUAUGUUCACUCGCAGCUCCAAGAAGAGAGAAUCCAGUAGAACGCUGAACACCCUUGCUGAAUCAGAGAGUGAACAGCUGUGUAACGUGUGUGGAGACCAGUGACCGGGCUUCAUUCUGCACCAAUGGAGGACAGUGGACAGAGAGGCAGGCCAAGCCAGGGGGACUCUGUUUACAUUUCACCAGGCUGGAUCCUGUCAGACACAUGCAAUGUUGUGAAUGUUCCAUAGUGGUCUAGUGUACCUAUAAUCUAGUAGUAUGCUUCACGAUAACUAAUUCAGCUAUAAAGCAAGUGAUGAACUUGGCUUUCUGUUCAGUAAAGCAUUGGAAAGCCAUCCCGGUCUCCAUUCUUAUGAACAUACAGUAAAAAUCCAAUGUUAUAACAAACAGAUACCGAAUUAUACGGACAAUAUUUUACUGCACGAUACAGUGUAAAAAGCAUUGACACUUAUUUGUGCUUUACCCUAGUUUAAACCUUAUUAUACAAAAUGUCUCUACCUUUUCUUCUAAAUCUUCAUCAGACUUUCUUCAAUACGGUAGAGGUGACGUGUUUCCUCAAGCUGUCAACACCUAGACUGCUGAAUGUUCAGACUAAUAGUUCCCUGGUCUCUGGGUCCGUGCUCUUGACUCACAGCUCUGUGCUGCAUACUUUUAGAGUUAGGUUAGCUUUACCUCAGUUAAACCCCUCUCUGUAAAGCAAGCCUCAGUCUAUAUCAUCACACGCACACAUUCCUUUCUGUAGAGUGGAUCUUGCUCAUUUAAGGCAGCGAUCAAAGGCUCACAUAUUUAACAGUCUUUGUGGGGUGUAAUUUCUUUCUCGUUUGAUUCUAAUGAGCAGGCCUGGUCUUAUUUAUUUACUUAAAUCCUCUUCUUCCUCUUUUUGCCUCUAAUGUCUGCUGAUUGAAGCCAAAUAGACACAUAAUGAAUGCUGUAUACAAGUAUGCUGAGUAAAAUGUAAACUGUUUAGGUAAAAGGGGUGAUUCCUUAGCCAUAAAAAGGCAUUUUGUGACCUAUAAAUUGGGAAUCUAUUGUCAUGUCUUGUUGAGAAAUAUCACCUAUAAACGGUGACUUAACCUCAGCUGGCCCGUAUGGGUUUCACAGUGCAGUUCACCAAGCCCUGUUGCUGCAUCUGGCCAUCUGGUUUGAAUCAGAGUCUCUGUUUGUUUGUCUCCUAAUGUGUUUUACUAGGGAGGCUGACUGAUGACUGGAUCCAGAGCAAUGAUGCAUGUGUAAAUGUUCCUGCACUGGUAUCCACUCUGGGCUGAGCGGUCCAAAAUAUUUCCUUUCACUCCAGAUAGGCACAAAAGAGUGAAAGUGAUAUGUUUUAAAUGUAGGGGCAUUAUGUGUUGUGUUGGAAGAAGAGGUGUCUGUAUAUCGGAGAAGGAUAGGCGGGGGGUCUGACAUCGUCCGAGGUGUUCCACUCCACUCCUGUUCGAGGUGUUCUCUUUGUCACUCUGACAGGUGGGGUUUAGUGGCAUGUGCGUGUCACCAUAGGGUGGGGUACAGAUGUUAAUAUUCAUUUGAUCUGCCUGUUGCAGGAGAACUUUUGGUGUAUUUGAGGUUUAAAAAGGCUUCUGAACUUUGUAAUUUCCCAUUAUGAAAUUUCAGACUUGAUUUUCAAAAAUGUUCAUUGAUUAUAAUCCACAUAAUAAUUCACAUUUCCUGUUGCUUUAGGAUUAUUUUCCUGCAACAAACUGGCUCAAAUGAAUAUUUUACAUCUGUACAGGCUGGGGGUGUGAGCAGGUACUCAAUGCCUGAUCUCGUCCUGUGACAGAAGGACGUCCAAAGGUUUGUGUGUGUGUUCCACCAUAUUAGGAGGGGGUUUCCAUAUCUUAAUUGUUAAAUAGUUGAUGCUUGACACGGGUCUUCUGUCAGCUUAUGUAUCUGUCCAUUCAUAUGGUCCAAUUCAGUGUGUUUUGAUGAAUGUCUAUGGGAGCCCCAGAGAGUCUGUAGGGACUGUUGGCCUGGGCAUGAAUGUCUGUGUUGUGUAAAUGUGAAGCUGGUCCUCCUGAGAGGAACAGUGGCCUUAUCUGUGUCUCAAAGUUGACCUUUUAUUAUUACAUCUAAAAUAUAUCCAUCUCAACGAACUGAUGGCUGAGACUGCAAUGUCCCAGUAGACACACACACAGAGACUGUGUCUUUGUUCCAGGGGUCCAGGUUUGUAAGGGUAGCAGAGAAAUCGCCUAGUGACUGUUAAGGCCUCACCCUCCGCCUACGUCAGCGAGGGACAUCAUGUGACAGACAUCAUAUCAUGUGAAGCCUCAGUUAUGCAGUUAUGCAAAAUAUUCUUUCUCUCUCCCUUCUUCUAUUUCAAUCUCUCUUGCUCACUAUCCCUCCCCUCUUCCUCUCUCUCUCUUGCUUCCUGUUCCUCUAUCUCCCUCCACUCCCUCUUCUUCUCUGGCUCUCUCACCUCUUCAUCUGGUAAGUCAGGCACGUCCUGUAUGUAGAUUGGAGCCACAGCCUCUCUCAAUGCAGACUCAGCCUCUGCCCUGUUUGAAUUGUAAAUGCUCAAACUCGGGCAAGCUGUGCACCUUUUACAGUGAAUAAUGCAUUUGAACUACAAGGAGAAUGUUUGAUGUGUGUGCAUUUUGUUAGUGUCUAUAGGCCAGAAGGUGACUGUUUUGAAUGAAAUAAACCCAAGUCUUC
ensembl:lncRNA